AGGGUUGUGGCUCAGCGGUAGAGUGCUUGCCUAGCAUGCAUGAGGCACUGGGUUGGAUCCUCAGCAGCAUGU
rnacentral:tRNA from 1 species